GAACCGACCCUCUCUCUCGGCGGUGCAAUUUGGAUUUGCCCUAAUUCAACGACUCUUCUCUCUCUCUCUCUCUCUCUCUUUCUCUCUCUCUCUCUAGUGAAAGAGGGAAGCGAAACCCUAGUUCCAUGUCGGGAGCUUACGGUUCCGGCGGCGCGGGCGACUCCGGUCCCCCGAUGCGCGGCGGCGGCGGCGGCGGCGGCGGAGGAUACGGUGGCGGUGGCGGAUAUGGACAGCGAGGCGGCGGCGGUGGCGGUGGCUACCAUGGCGGCGACCGUGGGGGUCGCGGAGGCGGAGGCGGAGGUGGGCGAGGCGGCGGACGCGGUCCCGGAAGUGGCCGGGAAGGGGAUUGGGUUUGCCCUAAUUCGAGCUGCGGGAACUUGAACUUUGCAAGAAGAGUCGAAUGCAAUAAAUGUGGUGCUCCGUGCCCUAACGGCGGUGGUGGUUCGAACCGUGGGGGAGGAGGCGGUGGCGGUGGGUUUAACAGGGGAGGUGGUGGAGGUGGAGGACGGUAUAAUCGUGGUGGCGGAGAUUAUGGUUCUGGUGGCGGUGAUGAUUAUAAUCGUGGAGGCGGCGGUAAUUUUGGGUCCGGUGGUGGAUCUCGCGGCUAUGAUGGAAGCCGCGGUGGCCGUAACGGUGGGUAUGGCGGAAGAGGGAGUUAUGGUAAUACCCCGGGUAGAGAAGAGGGUGGUUAUCCCAACCCAGGCAGAGAAGAAACUGGCUAUGCCCAGGUUCCUCCUCCUUCGUAUGGGGGUUCUGUUGGGAACUAUUCAUCUCCUCCGAAUUCUUAUGGUGGGAAUAACUCAUAUGGUGUUGACCCUGUUCCGCCACCUAACCCAAGUUUCGGUGGUCCGAGUUCCUAUCCACCUAGUUAUGGUGCUCCACCACCAAACCCCUAUGGCGGUGAUGCUCCUUUAGGGUCCAGAGGUGCACCGGUUGGCUACGAUGGCGGCUAUGGUGGUCGGCCAGUCCCUGUUCGUGAUGGUAGUGGUGCGCCUCCUUAUCAGGGAGGUGGAGGCUAUGGUGGUGGUGCUCCUGUUGAGGCCUCUGGAAAGAUUAAACAAUGUGAUGAUAAUUGUGGGGAUACAUGUGAUAAUUCUAGGAUUUACAUAUCGAAUUUGCCCCCUGAUGUUACUGCUGAGGAACUGCAGGAGCUUUUUGGUGGGAUUGGACAGGUUGGAAGGAUUAAGCAGAAACGUGGCUACAAGGAUCAGUGGCCUUGGAAUAUUAAAAUAUAUACUGAUGACCUGGGAAAAAAUAAAGGUGAUGCUGUUCUUUCUUAUGAAGAUCCCUCUGCUGCGCAUUCAGCUGGUGGAUUUUAUAACAAUUAUGAUAUGAGAGGCUACAAGAUAAGCGUUGCCAUGGCUGAAAAAACAGCACCUAAAGCUCCACCUGCAUAUGGCCAUGGGGGUGGCAGAGGUGGUGGGUAUGGUGGUGGUGGUGACAGGCGCAGGGACAAUUUCCGUGAUGGUGGAGGUGCGGGGCCUGACAGGAACCGCGGCGGUGGUUUCCGCUCUCGACCAUACUGAAGAAGAGAAUCAGUUAAAAAUGUACUGAGAAUGUGAUCUGUGAGAAACUGUUUCUAUUACCUAUUCACUCAUACAAAGGAGCCUAAGAGGCAAGUGGAUAUAAUCUGCGAAAAUUUGCUGGUAGGUUUGAGAUUUUCAGGUGAGUGCUACUCUAUUUUGAUAUUUACAAUCAUUAGUUUCCCUGUCACCAUUAAUCUGUUUAGGUGGUAUUUUUUAACUCUUCUGCAUGAAUACAUAGUCUUGCUUUAAUCACGAUUUUGUGCUUUUGUUUAUUUUUAUUUAUCAAGUGUUGCUUACUGUUUUUCUUUGAUUGUGUGUUUAUGUUAAUCCAUGCCUCCAUGAUAUUCCAUUCAAUGGACUUUUAAUAUCUUGAAGCCUUAUCUGGCUCAAAAAGAAGACGUAGGCGCCACAAGCGGACUUACCUAAUUAUCAAAACCUAAAUCAUCCUUCUUGAAUGGAGAUGCUUCCUUCGAGGACUGAAAAUUUCGGAGCACCUACAUAUUCAGGUGGGUCUCUCUCCCCCCUCUUCUUUAUCUAAUCUCUUUUUCCUUGGUCAACCAAACGUUUGGUCUUCAUAACUUUUUGGUAGUCCUUCAAUUCACGUACCUAAAAAGUUCACCUAGCUGCAGACGCAUUCGGGUUAGUGCUAAUAGCUUUAUGUUGUAUCAACUAUUCCUAGCUUUCCUCCAAGUUGAGCAUUGUACACAAUCAUGACAACGCUAUAUCCCAAUGUCUAUGGAUUGGAGCAGAUUGUCGGAGAUGUCUACUAGAUCCAUUAGGACUUGCAGAAAAGGUAUUAAUCUGGUAGCAGUCAUCUAAUGUCCUGAUGAUGCUUGUGUCGCUUCCUCUUCCGCAUCCUUCAUUAGAGGUGCAGUGGGAUAUCUAAGCACAUUAGUAUGUGUUCUUGCCGGUAGCUUGUGCGCCUGUCUAAUGAUUAAGUUGAAAAUUUUUCUCGUAGCAACAUGGAAGAACUUAAUUUAUGCGCCUGACUGCUUUGCUUGCUUCAGAGCUUAAUUGAAAUUGAAAAGUGCUGCAAACCGUUAUAAACUUUUUUAACGUCCAACGAAAACUCGGGACUAUGUUAGAUCUUUGCUUCUCUGAUGCUAUGAAGUAAGAGUGGUAACCUGUGAAGCAUCUUGCCGGUUCUUCAAUGGAACCCGCUGGUUUUUCAAUGGAAAUUUUUACUGUCAUUUCAUAGAGCCAUAGAGCUCAGUUUUAAUGUGCUUUGAGAAAAGCGGUCGGAUUUGAAGAUGCAUCCCCAGCAAGGUCUUCCGAUGUGGCUGACUGCAUUGAACCGCAAUGGAAGUGUGGGGAGAGAUUAUGUUGGGAGUAUUCGACGUGGUGGUUGCAUAUGGAAUGUCUUACCUUAUUUUCGAUUUUUGUCGUGUGAUUGAGCACCAAAGGUAAUUGCAACUUAAAUUAUUUUUGAA